AUUGAACGCUGGCGGCAGGCCUAACACAUGCAAGUCGAACGAGUGGCGGACGGGUGAGUAAUGUCUGGGAAACUGCCUGAUGGAGGGGGAUAACUACUGGAAACGGUAGCUAAUACCGCAUACCAUCAGAUGUGCCCAGAUGGGAUUGGCUGGUUGGUGGGGUAACGGCUCACCAGGGCGACGAUCCCUAGCUGGCCUGAGAGGAUGACCGGCCACACGGGAAUGGAGACACGGUCAAGACCCCUACGGGAGGCAGCAGUGGGGAAUAUUGCACAAUGGGCGAAAGCCUGAUGCAGCCAUGCCGCGGGUAGGAAGAAGGCCUCCGGGUUGUAAAGUACUUUCAGCGGGGAGGCGGUACCCGAAGAAGAAGCACCGGCUAACUCCGUGCCAGCAGCCGCGGUAAUAC
rnacentral:rRNA from 1 species